rnacentral:rRNA from 1 species
ACGGACCAAAGUGGGGACCUUCGGGCCUCACGCCAUAAGAUUGCCCAAGUGGGUUAGCUAGUUGUGAGGUAAUGCUCACCAAGGCGACGAUCCCUAGCUGGUUGAGAGGAUGAUCAGCCACACUGGGACUGAGACACGGCCCAGACUCCUACGGGAGGCAGCAGUGGGGAAUAUUGCACAAUGGGCGCAAGCCUGAUGCAGCCAUGCCGCGUGUGUGAAGAAGGCCUUCGGGUUGUAAAGCACUUUCAGUAAGGAGGAAAGGUUAAGUGUUAAUAGCACUUAGCUGUGACGUUACUUACAGAAGAAGCACCGGCUAACUCCGUGCCAGCAGCCGCGGUAAUACGGAGGGUGCGAGCGUUAAUCGGAAUUACUGGGCGUAAAGCGUACGCAGGCGGUUUGUUAAGCGAGAUGUGAAAGCCCCGGGCUCAACCUGGGAACUGCAUUUCGAACUGGCAAACUAGAGUGUGAUAGAGGGUGGUAGAAUUUCAGGUGUAGCGGUGAAAUGCGUAGAGAUCUGAAGGAAUACCGAUGGCGAAGGCAGCCACCUGGGUCAACACUGACGUUCAUGUACGAAAGCGUGGGGAGCAAACAGGAUUA